GCGUAGAGGCGCGUCGAUCAUCAUUAGGCGGCAGUACGGCCCGCGGGAGCCGGAAGAUCGCAGGCCGAAAGGGUGAGACGCCGAAGAGCCGGAACUUCCGCGGGAACCGGAUCUGGUCCUUCCGGGAAUACCGGCCGGACUGUCAGCGCAUCUGCCGUAGAGCGGAUGCGGUGGAGAGCUAUGU
rnacentral:ncRNA from 1 species